rnacentral:tRNA from 1 species
GCCCAGGUGGCUCAAUCUGUUACAGUGUCUGACUUCGGCUUAGGUCAUGAUCUCAGAGUUUGUGGGUUUGAGCCCCGUUUUGGGCU